CUUCCUUGGAAAUCAUUGACUAGCAUCAUUGAAUAUUAUUACAUGUGGAAAACUACUGACAGAUAUGUGCAACAGAAACGUCUAAAAGCAGCAGAAGCUGAGAGUAAACUGAAACAAGUAUAUAUCCCAACUUAGCUGUGUAUGGUAGCUCAUGCCUAUAAUCCCAGCACUUUGGGGGACCUUGUUUCUGCAAAAAAUUUGAAAGAAAUGUGCAAACCAAAUCCCAACCAAAUAUCCACUAGUAAUGGGAAGCCUGGUGCUGUGAAUGGAGCUGUGGGGACCACGUUCCAGCCUCAGAAUCCUCUUUUAGGGAGAGCCUGUGAGAGCUGCUAUGCUACACAGUCUCACCAGUGGUAUUCUUGGGGCCCACCUAAUAUGCAGUGUAGAUUAUGUGCAAUUUGUUGGCUUUAUUGGAAAAAAUAUGGAGGCUUGAAAAUGCCCACCCAGUCAGAAGAAGAAAAGUUAUCUCCUAGCCCAACUACAGAGGACCCUCGUGUUAGAAGUCAUGUGUCCCGCCAGGCCAUGCAGGGAAUGCCAGUCCGAAACACUGGGAGUCCAAAGUCUGCAGUGAAGACCCGCCAGGCUUUCUUCCUUCAUACUACAUAUUUCACAAAAUUUGCUCGUCAGGUCUGCAAAAAUACCCUCCGUCUGCGGCAGGCAGCAAGACGGCCGUUUGUUGCUAUUAAUUACGCUGCCAUUAGGGCAGAAUGUAAGAUGCUUUUAAAUUCUUAACCUUAUAUGUUGUGCUUCUGACCAUUUUCUCUUU
rnacentral:sRNA from 1 species